rnacentral:rRNA from 1 species
GACGAACGCUGGCGGCGUGCUUAACACAUGCAAGUCGAACGAUCUGGCGGCUUCGGUUUUCGUUGCUGGUGGCGCACGGGGGAGUAACACGUGAGAAGAUACUCUUUUGUACGCAAUUACCGAGUAACACUUUGGCUAAUACCGUAUACGCGCUUCGUCUGAAAGAUUUAUCUCUAGAGGUUUAGCCCGCGUCUGAUUAGGUAGGUGGUGAGGUAGUGGCUCAUCAAGUCGACGAUCAGUAGCUGGUCUGAGAGGAUGAUCAGCCACAAUGGGACUGAGACGCGGCCCAGACUACUACGGGACGAAGCAGUGGGGAAUAUUGGACAAUGGGGGCAAGCCUGAUGCAGCCAUGCCGCUUGAGUGACGAAGGCGUUAGGGUUGUAAAGCUCUUUCGACGGUGACGAUGAUGACGGUACCCGUAUAAGAAGCCCCGGCAAACUUCGUG